rnacentral:rRNA from 1 species
CGGUCCAGACUCCUACGGGAGGCAGCAGUAGGGAAUCUUCCGCAAUGGGCGAAAGCCUGACGGAGCAACGCCGCGUGAGUGAUGAAGGUCUUCGGAUCGUAAAACUCUGUUAUUAGGGAAGAACAAAUGAAAGUAACUAUGCACGUCUUCGACGGUACCUAAUCAGAAAGCCACGGCUAACUACGUGCCAGCAGCCGCGGUAA